GCGGCGGACGGGUGAGUAACACGUGGGCAACCUGCCCUGCAAGACGGGGAUAACUCCGGGAAACCGGGGCUAAUACCGGAUAAUAUCUUCCUUCGCAUGAAGGAAGGUUGAAAGGCGGCUGCAAGCUGCCGCUUGCAGAUGGGCCCGCGGCGCAUUAGCUAGUUGGUGAGGUAACGGCUCACCAAGGCGACGAUGCGUAGCCGACCUGAGAGGGUGAUCGGCCACACUGGGACUGAGACACGGCCCAGACUCCUACGGGAGGCAGCAGUAGGGAAUCUUCCGCAAUGGACGAAAGUCUGACGGAGCAACGCCGCGUGAGCGAAGAAGGUCUUCGGAUCGUAAAGCUCUGUUGUCAGGGAAGAACAAGUACCGUUCGAACAGGGCGGUACCUUGACGGUACCUGACCAGAAAGCCACGGCUAACUACGUGCCAGCAGCCGCGGUAAUAC
rnacentral:rRNA from 1 species